CCUACGGGAGGCAGCAGUGGGGAAUAUUGGACAAUGGGCGGAAGCCUGAUCCAGCAACGCCGCGUGAGGGAUGACGGCCUUCGGGUUGUAAACCUCUUUCAGUACCGACGAAGCGAAAGUGACGGUAGGUACAGAAGAAGGACCGGCCAACUACGUGCCAGCAGCCGCGGUAAUACGUAGGGUCCGAGCGUUGUCCGGAAUUAUUGGGCGUAAAGGGCUCGUAGGCGGUUUGUCGCGUCGGGAGUGAAAACACCGGGCUUAACUCGGUGCUUGCUUUCGAUACGGGCAGACUAGAGGUAUGCAGGGGAGAAUGGAAUUCCUGGUGUAGCGGUGAAAUGCGCAGAUAUCAGGAGGAACACCGGUGGCGAAGGCGGUUCUCUGGGCAUUACCUGACGCUGAGGAGCGAAAGUGUGGGGAGCGAACAGGAUUAGAUACCCUU
rnacentral:rRNA from 1 species